rnacentral:rRNA from 1 species
GAUGAACGCUGGCGGCGUACCUAAUACAUGCAAGUCGAGCGAACGGACGAGAAGCUUGCUUCUCUGAUGUUAGCGGCGGACGGGUGAGUAACACGUGGAUAACCUACCUAUAAGACUGGGAUAACUUCGGGAAACCGUAGCUAAUACCGGAUAAUAUUUUGAACCGCAUGGUUCAAAAGUGAAAGACGGUCUUGCUGUCACUUAUAGAUGGAUACGCGCUGCAUUAGCUAGUUGGUAAGGUAACGGCUUACCAAGGCAACGAUGCAUAGCCGACCUGAGAGGGUGAUCGGCCACACUGGAACUGAGACACGGUCCAGACUCCUACGGGAGGCAGCAGUAGGGAAUCUUCCGCAAUGGGCGAAAGCCUGACGGAGCAACGCCGCGUGAGUGAUGAAGGUCUUCGGAUCGUAAAACUCUGUUAUUAGGGAAGAACAUAUGUGUAAGUAACUGUGCACAUCUUGACGGUACCUAAUCAGAAAGCCACGGCUAACUACGUG